GACGAACGCUGGCGGCGUGCCUAAUACAUGCAAGUAGAACGCACAGUUUAUACCGUAGCUUGCUACACCAUAGACUGUGAGUUGCGAACGGGUGAGUAACGCGUAGGUAACCUGCCUGGUAGCGGGGGAUAACUAUUGGAAACGAUAGCUAAUACCGCAUAAUAUUGAUUAUUGCAUGAUAAUUGAUUGAAAGAUGCUAUUGCAUCACUACCAGAUGGACCUGCGUUGUAUUAGCUAGUAGGUGAGGUAACGGCUCACCUAGGCGACGAUACAUAGCCGACCGGAGAGGGUGAUCGGCCACACUGGGACUGAGACACGGCCCAGACUCCUACGGGAGGCAGCAGUAGGGAAUCUUCGGCAAUGGACGAAAGUCUGACCGAGCAACGCCGCGUGAGUGAAGAAGGUUUUCGGAUCGUAAAGCUCUGUUGUAAGAGAAGAACGGGUGUGAGAGUGGAAAGUUCACACUGUGACGGUAUCUGACCAGAAAGGGACGGCUAACUACGUG
rnacentral:rRNA from 1 species